rnacentral:lncRNA from 1 species
AUUUUUGUAAAUAAACUUAAAUAAGAAAAAACAAUAAUUCAAUAUUAAUUAUAGUAUUUUUUAUAAUUAAAUUUUUUAAAAUUUAAAGAUUGUGUUGUUAGCAUGGUAAUUUUUAUCACUAUUUUUUUUUCUGUUUGAGUUUUUUAAUCUAAUUUAGUUUAUUUGUUGUAAUAUUUUUUUUUCAUUUAUUUAAAAUGAAUAUUUUAAAAUUAAUUUUUUACCCCAAUGUGAUCCCUAAAAUAAAGGAUCGCAUAAGUGAUUCCAAUAUGAACAAUAAUAUAAAAAGAGCUUUGGUUUCCGAUACAGGUCUUUUAUCUAUUCACUUUUGGGCUCCAACAUUUAAAUGGUCUAUAAGCAUUGCAAAUAUUGUUGAUAUUAAUAGAAGCCCUGACUUGUUAUCCUUUCCACAGCAACUUGCUAUAUUCCUCACUGGAGUGUUAUUUGCUCGCUUCGCUUAUAAAAUCAAACCAAGGAAUAUGAAUCUGCUAACAAUUAACCUAUUUAUGAGUAUGACAGCGAUGUAUCAAAUCGGACGUAUUGCUAUUUAUAAAUAUGACCAAACUGAAAAAAGUAAAGAUGAAAAUAAUAGCACGCCAGUAACAACUGAGAAAUUAAGUUUGCUUAGAAAAUAA